rnacentral:rRNA from 1 species
UACGUAGGGUGCAAGCGUUGUCCGGAAUUAUUGGGCGUAAAGAGCUCGUAGGCGGCUUGUUGCGUCGGCUGUGAAAUCCCGAGGCUCAACCUCGGGUCUGCAGUCGAUACGAGCAAACUAGAGUGUUGCAGGGGAGACUGGAAUUCCUGGUGUAGCGGUGAAAUGCGCAGAUAUCAGGAGGAACACCGGUGGCGAAGGCGGGUCUCUGGGCAGUAACUGACGCUGAGGAGCGAAAGCGUGGGGAGCGAACAGG